UGGGGAAUAUUGGACAAUGGGCGAAAGCCUGAUCCAGCCAUGCCGCGUGUGUGAAGAAGGUCUUCGGAUUGUAAAGCACUUUAAGUUGGGAGGAAGGGCAUUAACCUAAUACGUUAGUGUUUUGACGUUACCGACAGAAUAAGCACCGGCUAACUCUGUGCCAGCAGCCGCGGUAAUACAGAGGGUGCAAGCGUUAAUCGGAAUUACUGGGCGUAAAGCGCGCGUAGGUGGUUUGUUAAGUUGGAUGUGAAAUCCCCGGGCUCAACCUGGGAACUGCAUUCAAAACUGACUGACUAGAGUAUGGUAGAGGGUAGUGGAAUUUCCUGUGUAGCGGUGAAAUGCGUAGAUAUAGGAAGGAACACCAGUGGCGAAGGCGACCACCUGGACUAAUACUGACACUGAGGUGCGAAAGCGUGGGGAGCAAACA
rnacentral:rRNA from 1 species